ACCUGCACCCUCUUUGACAAGCGCCUGUUAAAGGAGCAGUUCACCUUGAAUUAUAGGCUUAAAUCAAGGGCUGACUUAUAAGAACAUUAGGAAACAUAUUUUUUGACUUGAUGUGUUCCAUCAGUGUUCAGCACUUGCCUGCACCACAAUUCACUACCAGUGACUCGGAUGCAAAAAAAUAAAAGUGUAAGCCUGCAGGACAUAGCAGAAACACAUUCGUACAGGAGCUGUUCAAAUGCUUGGCGAAGGGGACCCUGUGACAGAGAGAGGGAAACUAUAGGGGAAGCAGACUAUGUAAAUGUACAGGGGCCAAUGGAUUCCAUACUAAUGGCAGGAGUCACAAGGACCCAUCCAUCUACAGAAACAUGAACCAGCACAGAAGCCUAGGGAAAAGAAUGGGGAGAAGACACACAGAUGAGCAUUCUUACAAGAAGAAGCACUGAAACACAACACCUGUACUAUGUAUUCCUGUGCCUCUAGAUUAUUAUUUUUAAAUAUCAUCUGAUAAUUAUUCUGUUUCUAUAUUAUUUUAUUUGUACCAUAUGUAUUAUGUAUACAUAUUAUACAUAUUAUAUAUACAUAUACAUCAGCUCCGUAUGUAUUUAUGCCUUGGGUCUUUUUAGUUUGUGGCUUUGCAUAUGCUGCUUCCUUUUUAUAGUUGUUGCUCGUAUUGUAAUUCCUAGACUAUGUUUCUAUACAAAGCAGCAUCAUUUAUUCCUGUAUUCUAGUAUAAUAGAUCAUGUGAAAUAUGGACUUGGCAAUAUCUUAUUUGUGGUAUUUAAACAGUAGAUUUCCCGGUGCUUUGCAUAAAAUGUGGUAGGUCUGUUUUAUUAAUAUCCUACUAACAAAGAAGUAUGACAUGCCUUCCCAAACAUAAUUAUGAUACUUUAUUAUAUCUAGCUAGCAGUCCUUGAAUGAGAUAACAGUUCAGAUAUGAACAUCAGUCAUUUAUAGCACACAGUGAAUUGCAUUCUUGUCUAUGCAUUCAUUUUCUAACCUGAUU